GAAAGCGGAAGCGGAAGGAAGGGGGCGUGGCCUCCGAGGCUUCUUGGCUGAGUCGAGGGCCUGGGCAUUGUGCAUGAAGCCCACCACAUCGUCCAGACUCCAGCACAGGGCAUCUGCCAACAGGACCAAUGACUCAUCAAAGUACUCGGCCACCAUGACCAGGUCAAAGACUGAGUCCAACCAGGCCAGACCCCACUGGAUAAAGGAUGAGGGCCUAAAAUCUGAGGAGACAAGGCUGGCUGGCUGCUUGUAACUAUCAGCAGCUGUGGUAACAGGACGGAAGAGAGUUCCAGGGCUAGCACCGGAAGGAGAAGGCAGAGCGGGCUAGAGCUGCUGGAUCUCGGACAAUGGAAAAGAAGAAGCUAUCAGAAGGCAUGACCUGAAGUACCUGCAGAAGAAAGAAAGAGAGGAAGAGCUUGACUGAGGAGAAAACGAGUCCAAGCUGAGGCUCUGAUGAGCCGUCAGGCUCUGCUGUACACCCCCAGUUUCCCCUACUAGCUGUGUGAUGUUGGGGAAAUUACAUAGCACCUCUGAAAUUCAAUUCCUGCAAAAGGAAAGUAGUCAGAGGUUCCCAGGUAAUUGAGGAGAAUACUCGAAAUAACAGCUAGUCAGACAUCUGGAACACAAAGCUCUUGCUGGUUAUUAAUGUCCUUGGGUUUUUGUGUCUUUGUUGGUUGAGAAAACUCUCAAACCUGGGGCUGGGGAGAUGGCUCAGUCAAUAAAGUGUGUGCCACACAAGCA
rnacentral:lncRNA from 1 species